UCUUUAUAGUAAGUUUAUUUUAAUAGAUUAUUUUAUAUAAAUUAAGUUUUAAUAUUUAGCUAUUUUAUUGGGGUGAUAUAAAAAUUUAAUUAACUUUUUUAAUAAAAUUACUUAAAUUAAAGAUUUUAAAAUUAUGAUCUAUUAUUAAUAAUUCAAAGAAUAAGA
rnacentral:rRNA from 1 species